rnacentral:rRNA from 1 species
AACGAACGCUGGCGGCAGGCUCAACACAUGCAAGUCGAGCGCCCCGCAAGGGGAGCGGCAGACGGGUGAGUAACGCGUGGGAAUCUACCCAUCUCUACGGAAUAACGCAUGGAAACGUGUGCUAAUACCGUAUACGUCCUUCGGGAGAAAGAUUUAUCGGAGAUGGAUGAGCCCGCGUUGGAUUAGCUAGUUGGUGGGGUAAAGGCCUACCAAGGCGACGAUCCAUAGCUGGUCUGAGAGGAUGAUCAGCCACACUGGGACUGAGACACGGCCCAGACUCCCACGGGAGGCAGCAGUGGGGAAUAUUGGACAAUGGGCGCAAGCCUGAUCCAGCCAUGCCGCGUGAGUGAUGAAGGCCCUAGGGUUGUAAAGCUCUUUCACCGGUGAAGAUAAUGACGGUAACCGGAGAAGAAGCCCCGGCUAACUUCGUGCCAGCCGCCGCAGUAACAC